rnacentral:rRNA from 1 species
GAUGAACGCUAGCGGCAGGCCUAACACAUGCAAGUCGAGGGAGAAGCCCUUUCGGGGGCAGAAACCGGCGCACGGGUGCGUAACGCGUAUGCAACCUACCUUUCACAGGGGGAUAGCCCGAAGAAAUUUGGAUUAAUACCCCAUAAUAUUAUUGGAUGGCAUCAUUUGAUAAUUAAAACUGCGGUGGUGAAAGAUGGGCAUGCGUCCUAUUAGUUAGUUGGAGUGGUAACGGCACCCCAAGGCUACGAUAGGUAGGGGUCCUGAGAGGGAGAUCCCCCACACUGGUACUGAGACAGGGACCAGACUCCUACGGGAGGCAGCAGUGAGGAAUAUUGGUCAAUGGUCGGAAGACUGAACCAGCCAUGCCGCGUGCAGGAAGAAUGCCUUAUGGGUUGUAAACUGCUUUUAUAUGGGAAGAAUAAGGCGUACGUGUACGUUGAUGACGGUACCAUAUGAAUAAGCAUCGGCUAACUCCGUG